rnacentral:rRNA from 1 species
UACGGAGGGUGCAAGCGUUAUCCGGAUUUACUGGGUUUAAAGGGCGCGUAGGCGGCUUGGCAAGUUGGGUGUGAAAGCCCAGGGCUCAACCCUGGAACUGCACUCAAGACUGCCUUGCUUGAAUUCGGUAGAGGUUGGUGGAAUUCCCAGUGUAGCGGUGAAAUGCGUAGAUAUUGGGAGGAACACCGGUGGCGAAGGCGGCCCUCUGGACCGGUACUGACGCUGAUGCGCGAAAGCGUGGGUAGCAAACGGG